rnacentral:lncRNA from 1 species
UAAUGAGGGAAUUACAGAAAACUUGUAGAAAUGAAUGCUCAAUAAUUAAGCAAUACCCUUUUCAAUAAUUAAGCAGGCUCAUGCUCUAAAUACAAACGAAUUGAAUGCUCAAAUAACAUUGACGCAAUAGUAUUCUGACUAUUCUCUACAUUGAUACUGAUAUACAAAAACAAAAACAAAUAACAUUAAUUCCCUCAUAUAGUGUAAUUUCCUUGAGGGGACUGAAUUUCAGAACAAAAACAUGCAGGUACUGAAGUGACUUUUAUGAGAAAGCCUGCAUUAUCUCUAGUAAUAUGACUCAUAUUUCGGCAGAGAAGGCCUGCAAUAUAUUAUUUCUAGUAAAAUGACUCAUAUUUAUGCUGCCCAGGUGCACGGUUAAGAAAAUAAGUAGGAUGCAGUAACCACUAACCACAACAAAAUUAUCAUUUUUAUGCUCCCGAAUUUGCCAACAUAAAGAAAACAUUGUCUUGAUCAUCAACAGGGUUGGAAGAUCCUUUAUAAGGCAUUAAGUUUGAUUUCAAAUGUUGAAGUAGAGGUGAAUGAUCCACGUUACAAUCAGGAAAUGCAAAACUUGAUUAUCCGAAAGAAUGAUUUAAACAUUCAGGAGAUGAAUCACAAAGCCUUUUCUAUUUGUUUUUGUAACCGAUUAAACUUUGUGCAGCUGUAUCAUCAUUAUCAAAGUUGCAUAAUUUCCAGAAUUCUGAAGCUGGAAUAUCAGACCUCAAAAGCUGCUCUAAGUAGCAACUCAUUAUGUGGUCUGGUGAGUUACCCUCUGUGGAAGAGAUUGAUGUAUCACUACUAGGUUCUGGUUCCACUACCACAUUACCAUUGCCCGACUUUCCCUCUUGCUUUGGUUCAAUCAACAUCAGUUUCAAGAUUUUCGUCAUUAUGUGACUGUUGGUGAACAGCUUUACCAACUUUCAUUAUUCUUGCCGGAUUCGUAUGGACUGCAUCAGAGUCUGUCAACAGCAAAUGGGAGCUCCCAACAGAAGGUUUGUUGUUCCGUUUAUUGUUUUCUGAUAUGCAUUGCUUCUUGCUAUUGAUGAUCUUCCUUCUUCUUAUGACAGUGUUCCAGUGAUUCUUGAUUUCAGUAUCUGUUCUCCCUGGAAGUCUCCUUGAAAUGAGAGACCAUCUGCAGAUGCCAAUAGUCUUUCUUUCAGCACUUACAAAAUCAAUCCACAAAGAAGAAACAAAAUACCUGAAGAUGAAGGCAGUGGUAGACCUGUUGCCUAAGAGCUUGUGGAGUCUCAUGAUGAGGUCUUCGUCCUCCGGUGAGAUAUUGCCCCUCUUGAUAUUGGAUCUUAGAUAGUUUAGCCACCGCACCCUGCAACUUUUCCCGCAUCUCUUGAGACCUGGAUCCGUUAUAACAUCUUCACUAAUUUUUGUUCCAUGUAAACUAUAAUCCAUUGUCUUGGUAUAAAAAUUUCUUACCUGUUUCCUUUGAAACUUUGCUCCACUUUCCUUCGCCGUGAGUUUCGACAUAAUCUACAAGGAUAUUGUCCUCUUGUGUAGUCCAAGCUCCUGUAUUCAUGUCGAUCUGAACUCUCUUCUCUCUCUCUUACACACUGAACCACACAUUUAUACACAAACAAAAUGUUUGGUUAUGCAUGCUACAGGUCUUUAGAAACUCCCCUGGAUUUUUAUACAGUGUUAGGAUCUCUGUCUUUCUCUUCAAAUUCAUUACAUCACGUUCAAAAUUAAGAGUUCGGUUAACUUUCUACGUACAUUGAAUAAUGAUUUCCAUUCAUCUUUGAAAUUGGUUUAUAAAUAUAGCAAGUGGAGAUUAAACUGGCGGAAAGAGACAUGCCGUCUGGUCCUGUACAUAUUUUAGAGCAAGAGCUUCUUGUAGUUCUGAACAUGUUUGAUUAGUGGUUGCCACAACCAACUUUCUUCUGAUUUGGACACAUGCAGUUAGGGCUGCUUGCUUUGUUAGCUUCCAGACCAAUUGAUUUGAAUAGAGGAGAAGAAGAAGAAUAUUCAACGUGCAUGAAAGGACUUCUGUUCAUGUUACAAUAUACAAUAGGGUGAUGAUAGGAUGCAUAUGAUUUCAAGAAGGCUGAUUAUAUGAGGAUUGGAACGUGCUUGUUUGCAUGUGUGUAUAUUAGGCAGCUUUGCCCAACAUUUUUCUAUUGUUGUUGAAGCCACAUAUAUAUGCUUUGAUACCGAAUCUGUGAUGACUAGCUAUGUAACAACAAUUGCUAGGUGUAGGCUGCCAUUUAACACAAAAAAGCAUUAUUUUGUUUGUUACGACGGUAAACACAAAAAUUCUUGUAAUGAAUAACAGAAAGACACAUGUACAAAAUAAUAUAUUUGUAUUGAUUGAAUUUACGGGUUACAAUCUCUGUGGGUAUUCUUUUAACAAGAAUGUCUUUUGAUCCGAUCUUCGACAUUGAUUUGAUCCAAGGGUGACAAGCACUUGAUCUUAAAUUGAACUGUUGUAGUUUGAACUUAUUAUCGUAUUGCCGAUUUGUAAAAGGAAGUUGACCAAGGGCCGUAGAGGCUUGAUCUUGAUUGAAUUUGGGCCGAGAGAGGUGUCACGUGGUGAACGUUCUUUAGCUUGAUAGCGGAUGAAUCAACACGUGUGUUUGGUGCUUGUUGGUUCUCCACGAGCUUAUUGAAGAACUUGGUAAAAGUUUUGAUUUGUUGAAAGGCUUGAAGACGAGGGUUGAUCAAGGGCUGUAGAGGCUUGACGUUGAUCGGGUUUAGGCCACGAGCAGUUCCACGUGGUGGUUGCUCUUCGUCUUGUAGUUGGUGAAGAUGUUGGUUAUUUGGCAACUUGGGACUCUUUGGGAUUUGACAACUUCUAGGCUUGAGGUUGAUGAAGAAUCGGCUAUUUGGCAGCUUGAUAAUUCUUCAAGGGUUUUGGGAGAAUUCUGAGCUCUCGGGAGUAAUUUUUCUCUCUUGUCCGAAAGUCCUUUUCUUGAUAUGAGAGGGGGGUAUUUAUAGUGUCAAUGUUCCUCCGUUUGUGGAAUGUUUUGAAGACACCGUUUUAAUUGUAUUUCCUUAAGGGUAUAAUUAAAUUAAUCAGUCUUGAUUGAUUGAUCUAAUUAUAAUUAUUAACAUAAUUAAAUCAAUCAGUAUUUAUUGAUUGAUUCGAUUAUGACCGAUAAGGUAUUUUGCAAAUUUAAUUAAAUGUUCGACUUCCUUUCUUAUAAUCAAUUUAAAUUGAAAUUUGAUUAUCGAUUGACAUUUAAUAUUUGCUUUUAGUCGGGAUUGAUGAUUUUUGUUGUCGACCGACCAUUCACAUGUCGUCACAUGUCAUUUCCGAAGACUUUUCAACUUUCCCGACUCAUGAACCACAUAUGCAAUUUGUCGGGACCAUGUGUUAUAUGAAUAAUCUAAUAAUUAUUAUUCUCAUUAAAUUUUAUGCAUCUACAAUUGCCCCCACUUCAAGGUGUAGUCGUGUUGCCUUCACGUGUCGGAGGUGCGGCUUGAAGUCCAUACUUUUGACGUGGACAAUUCUGGGCCAACUUCUUGGGCUUCAAUGUAUGUGGGAAUUCAUUUUAAUUUGUAGGAAUCCCGAAUUUGUAGGGACUCCUAAAUUUGCAAGGAUUCCCUAUAUAUGUGGGCAUUCCUUAAAAUUUACAGAAUGUCCAAAUUUGUAGAGAUUUCUUAAAUUUGCAAGGAUCCUUACAUAUUUUAUUUAAUUCAGCAGAGAUUUUCGAACACCAAAUAUAAAUGGAAAUAAAUCUUAGAUAUAUUACUUUCUCGAUUUGAUUGAUUGUUUGCAAGAUUUCCCACAAUAAAUGAUUUCGGACACCAAAUAAUUUGAGGCUAUAUGGCGGGAAAUCUUUGAUUCCCUCCAUAAUUUUCUAGUCUCAACUAGGUAAUUACCGGUGUAGCAAUACCUAGGGCUUCAAUAUAAAUUAGGGUUCCGAGUUUGAACACAUCCAUCCCCAUAUCGACUGCCUCAAGGUUCUCGUCCCCCCGUUACUGUGAUGUUUUCUGCUUUUCUUUCCUCUUGAUUUGACUGUGUUGGCUUUGUCUAAAACUCUAAAUCACCGAUCCUUCUGGUAUUAGUUUUAUUUUUAUUUUUAUUGCAGAUCACAGAACACAAUUGAAUUGCCCUCAAGUUGUAGGCGGAGAAGACCCUUGGCCUUGAUAGGACAGCAACAAAACAUAAGGUACUCUACGUACCUAAUUUUUUCUUCAAUUCUUUUCGUUUGAUAUUCUGAUGCUUCUAUGGAUUUCUAGGUUGCCCAGCAAAACUAAAUUGCCCCCUAAGUCACUCUGAAGAGACCUUUCGACACAGAAAAAAUUGAUUGAGGUAUUACCUUGGCUUAAAUUAUUCUUGGACUAAUCCUCUGACCCUUUUUGAAAGGCAAAAUUGACCAUUUGCCAAAGCUAAUGGCACUCAUGCAUGCACGUGGGUGAUCUUUAAUCACCUUGAAUACUCUUCUUAAUUCCCAUGGCAGCACCUCUUCUCCUUCAUUUUUAUUUACGCAGCAACCCUUUUCUUUUUUUUCUUUUUUCAGACUUUGGUAAUAAUUCGGUGGUAAUUGAAGAACGCGAACACCUAACCGCUUGAUUUGUUCCACUUCUUUGAUGUGGGAUAAGUCGUUCAAAGUGUUUAGGCUUUUCGUACCUUGGCGGCAAUUGAAAAACGCGAACACCUAACCAUUUGAUUUCUUCCAUCUCUUAGUCGUGGGAUUAAUAAUCGCUCAAAGUGUUUAGGCUUUGCGUACCUUGAUGGCAAUUGAAGAAUGCAAACACCUAACCGCUUGAUUUUUUUUCACCUCUUAGACGUGGGAUUAAUCGCUCAAAGUGUUUAGGCAUGCGUACCUUGAUGGCAAUUGAAGAACGCGAACACCUAACUAUUUGAUUUCUUCCACCUCUUAGACGUGGGAUUGAUCGCUCAAAGUGUUUAGGCUUUGUGUACCUUGAAGAUAAUAUGAAGAACACGAAAACCUAAACUCUUGAUUUGUUCCACCUCCUAGACGUUAGAUAAAUCAUUUAAAAGUGUUUAGGCUUUGCGUACCGUGAAGACAAUCUGAAGAGCGUGAAAACCUAUGUAAUACCCCGGAAAUUUGUUAUUAGUUUCUAAUAAUAAUUGGGAAUUUUCGAGUUUAAGUUAGUGUGUUUUGAGGUUCGAAGGAAGAUUGGAAGUGUUCGGAUGCAUAAGUUACCCGAAACGAUAUUUUGGUUUUGAAGGGUCAAGAGUUGACUUUCUAAUCUGUUGGGUUUCUCGAGAAACUUCCUUACGAAAGUUGUAGAGCACGAUGAUACGAGUUCGUAGACACGUGGCACGCAUAAAACGGACUUCGUAUGAGAAAGUUAUGGUCAGCAGAAGUUCAUGGCUUUACGAGAAUUUGGGGUUAAAUAAGAAAAGUUUAGGGUUUCCAUUUCAUUUUCCGGAACCCAUUUCUUCUCUCUUUUCCUUCUCUCUCGCGCCUCACCCUCAUUGUCCGAAAAUCCCUUUCGACCCGACCCAAACCCGGCCGACCCGACCCGACUUUUUCGGCCACCUCGGACCGACCUAGACGCCGGCACCGGUUGGGUUUUCUUCCUCUCCUCCGUCCGAGCUGCCUUGUGGUGGUGGCUUGCGCCGAUUCUCAGCGGUGUGUGCGAUUCGAAGCUUGGAUGUUCGGGUUAGAGACCCGAACGAAAUUCUCACCUCCGGCGGUGGCGACGCAGCUUGGAACCGGUCGGGAUAGAUGCUCCUUGGCGUCCUGGUUUUUUUUCUGGUAGUCUUCUAGUGCGACUCACGGCGGAGAGUGACGGUGGUGGAUUCCAAACUUUCAAGCGAGUUUCCAGUGUUUUCCUACCGAUUCCAGCCGAAUUGGUUCAACCGUCAGGUAUAAAAGUUGUUUCCCUUUCUUCAAUCUACAAGUUUGCUGUUGGAAGUUUGUUGAGAUUUUGAAGUUGCUGGGGUGGCGCGUGGGGCCCACUCGUCGCCGUCUAUGGUGGAACGUGGCGGCGCGUCCGACAGGGGUUGGGAGGUUAGGAGUAACUGUUAGCUUAUGUUCGUCGAUACAAGCACGUUGACAUAUCAUGAGGUUAUGUUAUGAUCAAGUUUUGCAUCCUAGGUUUAAGAGAAUCGUGAGAGAUUGUUAAGCUUUGGUGUUUGAGCUUUGAAAUUCUUGUUAGCUAUUUCAAUAGGUUGGUUAAGGGUUCCUAUGACCUUGGGAGGUCUCGGAAGAAGGUUGUCCCUUUUUGGGCAAAUCUUAGGUUAAGGCUUGUUAAGGGUGCAAUGUUCUUUUUGUUUAAGUGGUUAUUAAAGUUAUUAAUUGUGUUAAAUAGGUAGCGUGUGGAGUUGAUAUUUAAGCUUGGCUCUUGUGUUGUGUUGAAGACACAGCGGGAAUUUAGGUGAGUAAAAUCUCACCAAGGUUCACUUUGUGACAUAUUUAUUUAUGGUUAUUAUGAUGAUGAUAAUUAUUAUGAUGAUGAUUAUGAUGAUGAAAAUGUUGAUGAUGAAGAUUUAAAAACUAUGUUUUUCUUUUUGCUUGUUUUAAAAUAUAUGAGUUUAAUCGCCAACGACUCAUAGGUAAGAAAAAACAAGUUUUUAUAUUUAAAUGAUUAUUUUUAAGGUUCUUGUGAUCAUAAUAUUUUAGUUCUUGGUAGAUUAUUCUUGUGGGAAUAUCUAUGAUUGUUCAUAUAAAUAUAUCUAUGUGGAAGAAUAUAAUUUUUAUGAUGUGCUCUUUGUGUUGUUGAUGAUGAUAUUAUUAUAUUGUGAGUAAAUCUCACAUGGGUUCAUAAAGAAAUCGAGUUUAUUUUAUAGUUUAUUAUUGCUAAUUGUGAAGUUGUCCUUGAAAUGAAAUGAUUUUGUUUUUAAAUAUAAAUGAGCUUGAUCGUCAACGGCUCAUGGGUAAGUAAAAAUAUUUUUCUGAUAAAAAUAAAAUAUUUCAAAAGAACUUCUGAUCAUGGGUUAUUAGUUGUCGAUGUGUGUGUCUUAGUGGUAAUUGUGUGCAUUAGUUGUGGAACAGUGCCUUAGUGGUGAACUGGUGAUUGUGUGCAUUAGUUGUGGAUGUGUGUGUCUUAAUGAUGAUUGUGUGCAUUCGUUGUGGAAUGUGCCUUAGUAGUGAUUGUGUGUCUUAGUUGUGAAUGUGUGCCUUAGUGGUGAUUGUAUGCAUUAGUUGUGGAUGUGUGUCUUAGUGGUGAUUGUGUGCAUUAGAUUAGGAGUCUUCGUGGUGGACCGGGAACCAAGCCUUGGCCGGGUGAUUGAUUACGGUCAGUAUAGAGCUCUAGUUUGUCUGUCGGUACUUCAUGGGGGAUGACUAAGUGUCAACGAACCCAUGCGUACGCGUUUGUUUGGUUACUUAUGAGGGAUGACUAAGUGUUGACGAACUCAUAAGUAAGAGUAGAGAAAUGAUUAUGUGAUGUUCUUAUGUGUUGUCAUUUAAAUUCCUUGCUUUGAGUAUCUCCUGAACUAUGCUUAUCCGCAGGAGAUUCUAAAUCUUUACUUGUGAUUUUUAGUGAAUUCCUGAACUACAUUUUUUUGCAGGAUUCAUUUAUGAUUUUAAUUAUUUGUGGAUGGUUGUGUUUUCUUAUUUACUCUAUUUUAAAUUCUCUCAUUUUUAGGCAAUUCCUGAACUAAGUUUAUAAGCAAGAAUUACUGAUGUUUAUCUUGUGAUGUUAGGUUGAGUUCUUUAAUGUAGAUUUACUCAUAUGAGCUUUUAAAGCUUACCGAGUUUGUUGUUUACAACCCGGUACACCAAUCCAGGGUGUAGAGGUUGAUUUUGCAGGUCAGGUUUAGCAGAGUUAAGGCUGCGGCAAUUAGGUAAUUUUUCUUUUUGUUUACUUUCUAGUUGUUGUGAGUAUUGAGAGAGUUUUACUUUGUUCAAAAUUAUUUUCCACAAGUUGUAAAACUAAAUUGUUGUAGUGAUUGUUUUUCUUUUUUGGUUAUUAUGCCUUGAAUUUGAAAUUUUUUAUUUAUCCAAAAUUUAGGGUGUGACAACCUAAACGCUUGAUUUGUUCCACUUUCUGAAAGCGGGAGGAAUCACUUAAAGUGCUUAGGCUCUACGUAUUUUUCGACCGCGCAAGGAAGAGUAGAAAUCCUGAGAUUGCACAAAGUCAUCCUCUUUCAAGUUUUGUAUGUCUCUUCUUUAACAUGGAAAACACUUCGAGCAAAUUCAUUUCCUUGUUUUGAUAUGGCAGUACUCUAUACAACCCGAGCAAACUCAUUUUCUUACUUUGUUAUGACUGGACUUAGAAGCAUCUUCCAAGCUGCCUACGUACUCUUACGAGAAAGAGAUCAAGUCACGACGUAGUUCAAGGAUUUUUUUAUAUUUUUUUAGGUGUCGUACGCAGUUUAUGCUCGUGGGGGCAAGGAGCAUUUUUUUUUUUGUGCCUUGUGCAGUUGAGGCUCAUGCAGGCUAGGAGUUGUUUUUUUUUUUCUUUUUUUUGGUUGUCAUUUGCAAUUUAAGCUCGUGCAGACAAGGAGCGAUAAUUUUUUUUUGUUUUUUGUUUUUUUUUGUGUGUCAUUCGCAGUUUAAACUAGUGCGGACAAGAAACAUUUUGACUCUUGAGUGGUCUACAUAAAUUUAGACGGGUUGCAUGCCCCUAACAAAGGUGUUGAGGACACCACUUCAAGGUGUUCAAAAAAGAUGGUUGCAUAAUUUGACUAAGCCACGUCAUCUUCAACAUCUAAACAUAUCUUUCCUUGUUGUGCUAGCUUCAUGAUGAGGUCUUUCAAGACGAAGCCCUUCUCCAGGAUGACCGAUGACACGGUGGUACUUGUAAUACUUAGGAUCAUUGACACGAUGCAUCUCUUCUGGACGCUUGCAGUCUGGCAAUUUGAUUAGUUCUUUUUCAAGCAAGUUUUCCAACAUCUCAACAACAUCGAAAUCUGGAAAAGGGUAACUUUUAGCUUCCAAGUCAUUUAGAGUUUGCCUCCUUGCUUGAUCUUGCAGGAGUUGUACUGAUUGCCAAAGACUCUUGAUUCUCUGGUUCUAUGAUGUCACAUUUUCUUUGGCCAUGACUAGCCAAACUGAGUUCCAUGUCAUGAGCUCGGGUAGCAAGUUCUUCAAAGGUGCGAGGCUUUAUCCCUUGAAAAAUGUACAACAAAUCCCAAUGCAUGCCUUGAAUACACAUCUAUACCGCUGACAAUUUUAAGAGUCGGUCUUUGCAGUCGAGACUUAGUGUACGCCAACGAUUGAUGAACUCUACAGCAGGCUCGCCAUUUUGUUGUUUGGUGUUGGUGAGCUCUAACAUACUCACCAUGCGACGUGUGUUGAAGAAGUGGUUCAAGAACUCCUUUUCCAUUUGCUCCCAGCUGUCAAUGAAUUCAGGCUCCAAGUCUGUAAACCAUUUAAACUCCGUGCCUUGGAGUGAGCGAACAAAUUGCUUCACAAGAUGAUCACCAUCGGUGCCAGUGUUGUUGCAUGUUUCGAUGAAAUGUGCGAUGUGUUGCUUUGGGUUACAUUUGCCAUCAAAUUGUUAAAACUUGGGAGGUUGGUAACCAGUUGACAUUCUCAAAUUGUCUAGCCGCUUGGUGUAAGACUUGGAAUACGUUAGUGUAUCUCGAGGCGAACCACCAUAUUGAGCUUUGAUUGUCUUGGCAAUCAUGUCUUGAAGCUGUUGAACUAACAAUGAAGCUAGGAUGGAAUUUGAUUCUCCUUUUUGCUCGGAAGAUGAUCCACUAGACUUGUCUUUCUUAUCGCCAUGAAGGUUAUUCUCCGAGUCAUUGUCGUGGUGAACUUCUAGCUUCUCCAUGAGUGAUGCAAUUUCUACAUCCUUCUCUUCAAUGGUCUUUUGGAGCUUCUUCACCGCUUCAGUCAACUGGGCUAUUUGGGCCGCUUGUUCUUCCAUGUUGAUCACUUCUAUCACCAUGACUUGCAUGGCGCAAGAGUCGUCUUCUAGAAUCGCUUCAAUUUGAUUGUCAAGAUGCAAUUCCAAGUGUGGACAUAUCUUCGAAUCAACUUUGGUUGUGGGCGAAGGAGAAUGUUUCCUCGAGUUGCCUGACGAUGUUAAAAGUCUUUGCUUCGUGAGGUUUGCCACCAUUGUUGUCCAAACGUCGAUCAGCUGAAACUGCUUUGAGGAAUGAAGGUUGAAUGUUGUGAGUUGAAAUGACUCACUAUGAGCAACAUGAUCGCUAAGGUUUCUACUGCUUUUCAGAGUAGCUAUAUAGCUACCUUGUUGGUCUUGUUUUUCGAUUUGAUUUGCACCAUCUUUGAAGCCAUGUGAUGAGGAUGGCGAGAUUGUCGGAGGAGGAGAUGAGAGGCAGAGAUGGUCUCACUGGGCGUGCCAAUUUUGUAAACACGAAAAUUUCUGUAACGAAUAACAGAAAGACAUGUGUACAAAAUAAUAUAUUUGUAUUGAUUGAAUUUGCGGGUUACAAUCUCUGUGGGUAUUCUUUUAACAAGAAUGUCCUCUGAUUCGAUCUCCAUCGUUGAUUUGAUCCAAGGGUGACGAGCACUUGAUCUUGAAUUGAACUGUUGUAGUUUGAACUUCUUAUCGUGUUGACGAUUUGUAGAAGGAAGUUGACCAAGGGCCGUAGAGGCUUGAUCUUGGUCGAAUUUGGGUCGAGAAAGGUGUCACGUGGUGAACGUUCUUCGGCUUGAUAGCGGAUGAAUCGGCACGUGUGUUUGGUGCUUGUUGAUUCUCCAACAGCUUGUUGAAGAACUUGGUAAAAGUUUUGAUUUGUUGAAAGGCUUGAAGACGAGGGUUGAUCAAAGGCCGUAGAGGCUUGACAUUGAUCGGGUUUGGGCCACGAGCAGUUCCACGUGGUGGUUGCUCUUCGUCUUGUAGUUGGUGAAGAUGUCGGCUAUUUGACAAUUUGGGACUCUUCGGGAUUUGACAACUUCUAGGUUUGAGGUUGAUGAAGAAUCGACUAUUUGACAGCUUGAUAAUUCUUCAAGGGUUCUGGGAGAAUUCUGAGCUCUCGAGAGUAAUUUUUCUCUCUUGUCCGGAAGUCCUCUUCUUGAUAUGAGAGAGGGGUAUUUAUAGUGUCGACGUUCCUCCGUUUAUGGAAUGUUUUGAAGACAGUGUUUUAAUUGUAUUUCCUUAACAGUAUAAUUAAAUCAAUCAGUUUUGAUUGAUUGAUCUAAUUAUAAUUAUUAACAUAAUUAAAUCAGUCUGUAUUUAUUGAUUGAUUCGAUUAUGACUGAUAAAGUAUUUUGCUAAUUUGAUUAAAUGUUCGACUUCCUUUCCGAUAAUCAAUUUAAUUUGAUUGAAAUUUGAUUAUCGAUUGACAUUUAAUAUUUACUUUUAGUCGGAAUUGAUGAUUUUUGUUGUCGACUGAUCAUUCACACGUGACCACAUGUCAUUUUCGAAGACUUUAUAAUUUUUCCAACUGACGAACCACAUAUGC